rnacentral:rRNA from 1 species
UCAGCAUGUGUGUUAGUGGAAGCGUCUGGAAAGGCGCGCGAUACAGGGUGACAGCCCCGUACACAAAAGCGCAUGUGCUGUGAGCUCGAUGAGUAGGGCGGGACACGUGGUAUCCUGUCUGAAUAUGGGGGGACCAUCCUCCAAGGCUAAAUACUCCUGACUGACCGAUAGUGAACCAGUACCGUGAGGGAAAGGCGAAAAGAACCCCGGCGAGGGGAGUGAAAAAGAACCUGAAACCGUGUACGUACAAGCAGUGGGAGCACAGGUUUACCUGUGUGACUGCGUACCUUUUGUAUAAUGGGUCAGCGACUUAUAUUCUGUAGCAAGGUUAACCGAAUAGGGGAGCCGGAGGGAAACCGAGUCUUAAUUGGGCGUUAAGUUGCAGGGUAUAGACCCGAAACCCGGUGAUCUAGCCAUGGGCAGGUUGAAGGUUGGGUAACACUAACUGGAGGACCGAACCGACUAAUGUUGAAAAAUUAGCGGAUGACCUGUGGCUGGGGGUGAAAGGCCAAUCAAACCGGGAGAUAGCUGGUUCUCCCCGAAAGCUAUUUAGGUAGCGCCUCGUGAAUUCAUCUCCGGGGGUAGAGCACUGUUUCGGCUAGGGGGCCAUCCCGGCUUACCAACCCGAUGCAAACUGCGAAUACCGGAGAAUGUUAUCACGGGAGACACACGGCGGGUGCUAACGUCCGUCGUGAAGAGGGAAACAACCCAGACCGCCAGCUAAGGUCCCAAAGUCAUGGUUAAGUGGGAAACGAUGUGGGAAGGCCCAGACAGCCAGGAUGUUGGCUUAGAAGCAGCCAUCAUUUAAAGAAAGCGUAAUAGCUCACUGGUCGAGUCGGCCUGCGCGGAAGAUGUAACGGGGCUAAACCAUGCACCGAAGCUGCGGCAGCGAACGUAUCACCCAAGACAACUUUACGGAGUUGACGAUUGACGGAGCGAAGCGACGUCAAAGCGUUCAUUAAAGUCGAGUUGGCUUAGGGAUACGUUCGUUGGGUAGGGGAGCGUUCUGUAAGCCUGUGAAGGUGUGUCGUGAGGCAUGCUGGAGGUAUCAGAAGUGCGAAUGCUGACAUAAGUAACGAUAAAGCGGGUGAAAAGCCCGCUCGCCGGAAGACCAAGGGUUCCUGUCCAACGUUAAUCGGGGCAGGGUGAGUCGACCCCUAAGGCGAGGCCGAAAGGCGUAGUCGAUGGGAAACGGGUUAAUAUUCCCGUACUUGGUGUUACUGCGAAGGGGGGACGGAGAAGGCUAUGUUGGCCGGGCGACGGUUGUCCCGGUUUAAGCGUGUAGGUGUGUGUUCCAGGUAAAUCCGGUU